rnacentral:rRNA from 1 species
GUCGAACGGGAAUUAUUUAAGCUUGCUUUGAUAUUUCCAGUGGCGGACGGGUGAGUAACACGUGAGUUACCUGCCCCAAAGUGGGGGAUAGCCUCUCGAAAGAGAGAUUAAUACCGCAUGUGAUCGUAAGAUUAAAGGUGGCGCAAGCUGCCGCUUUGGGAUGGGCUCGCGGCCUAUCAGCUAGUUGGUGAGGUAAAGGCUCACCAAGGCGAUGACGGGUAGCUGGUCUGAGAGGACGACCAGUCACACUGGAACUGAGACACGGUCCAGACACCUACGGGUGGCAGCAGUCGAGAAUCAUUCACAAUGGGCGAAAGCCUGAUGGUGCGACGCCGCGUGGAGGACGAAGGCCCUAGGGUCGUAAACUCCUGUCAUCAGGGAGUAAGGCGUUUACCAGUAACUGGGUAGGCGAUUGAUAGUACCUGAAGAGGAAGGGACGGCUAACUUCGUGCCAGCAGCCGCGGUAAUACGAAGGUCCCGAGCGUUGUUCGGAUUUACUGGGCGUAAAGAGUCUGUAGGCGGUAAAGUAAGUCAGGUGUGAAAUCCCGAAGCUCAACUUCGGAACUGCACCCGAUACUGCUUUACUGGAGUAUUGGAGGGGGAACUGGAAUUCUCGGUGUAGCAGUGAAAUGCGUAGAUAUCGAGAGGAACACUAGUGGCGAAGGCGAGUUCCUGGACAAUUACUGACGCUGAGAGACGAAGGCCAGGGUAGCGAAAAGGAUUAGAUACCCUUGUAGUCCUGGCAGUAAACGGUGCACGCUUGGUGUAGGAGGAUUCGACCCCUUCUGUGCCGGAGCUAACGCGUUAAGCGUGCCGCCUGGGGAGUACGGUCGCAAGAUUAAAACUCAAAGAAAUUGACGGGGACCCGCACAAGCGGUGGAGCAUGUGGCUUAAUUCGAUGCAACGCGAA